AUACGGAGGAUGCGAGCGUUAUCCGGAUUUAUUGGGUUUAAAGGGAGCGUAGGUGGGAUAUUAAGUCAGCUGUGAAAGUUUGGGGCUCAACCUUAAAAUUGCAGUUGAUACUGGUUUCCUUGAGUACGGUACAGGUGGGCGGAACUCGUGGUGUAGCGGUGAAAUGCUUAGAUAUCACGAAGAACUCCGAUCGCGAAGGCAGCUCACCGGGCCGGAACUGACACUGAUGCUCGAAAGUGCGGGUAUCAAACAGGAUUAGAUACCCUGGUAGUCCGCACAGUAAACGAUGAAUACUCGCUGUUUGCGAUACACUGUAAGCGGCCAAGCGAAAGCGUUAAGUAUUCCACCUGGGGAGUACGCCGGCAACGGUGAAACUCAAAUGAAUUGGCGGGG
rnacentral:rRNA from 1 species